rnacentral:rRNA from 1 species
AAAUUGAAGAGUUUGAUCAUGGCUCAGAUUGAACGCUGGCGGCAGGCCUAACACAUGCAAGUCGAGCGGUAGCACAGAGAGCUUGCUCUCGGGUGACGAGCGGCGGACGGGUGAGUAAUGUCUGGGAAACUGCCUGAUGGAGGGGGAUAACUACUGGAAACGGUAGCUAAUACCGCAUAACGUCGCAAGACCAAAGUGGGGGACCUUCGGGCCUCAUGCCAUCAGAUGUGCCCAGAUGGGAUUAGCUGGUAGGUGGGGUAACGGCUCACCUAGGCGACGAUCCCUAGCUGGUCUGAGAGGAUGACCAGCCACACUGGAACUGAGACACGGUCCAGACUCCUACGGGAGGCAGCAGUGGGGAAUAUUGCACAAUGGGCGCAAGCCUGAUGCAGCCAUGCCGCGUGUGUGAAGAAGGCCUUCGGGUUGUAAAGCACUUUCAGCGGGGAGGAAGGCGAUAAGGUUAAUAACCUUGUCGAUUGACGUUACCCGCAGAAGAAGCACCGGCUAACUCCGUGCCAGCAGCCGCGGUAAUACGGAGGGUGCAAGCGUUAAUCGGAAUUACUGGGCGUAAAGCGCACGCAGGCGGUCUGUCAAGUCGGAUGUGAAAUCCCCGGGCUCAACCUGGGAACUGCAUUCGAAACUGGCAGGCUAGAGUCUUGUAGAGGGGGGUAGAAUUCCAGGUGUAGCGGUGAAAUGCGUAGAGAUCUGGAGGAAUACCGGUGGCGAAGGCGGCCCCCUGGACAAAGACUGACGCUCAGGUGCGAAAGCGUGGGGAGCAAACAGGAUUAGAUACCCUGGUAGUCCACGCUGUAAACGAUGUCGAUUUGGAGGUUGUGCCCUUGAGGCGUGGCUUCCGGAGCUAACGCGUUAAAUCGACCGCCUGGGGAGUACGGCCGCAAGGUUAAAACUCAAAUGAAUUGACGGGGGCCCGCACAAGCGGUGGAGCAUGUGGUUUAAUUCGAUGCAACGCGAAGAACCUUACCUGGUCUUGACAUCCACAGAACUUUCCAGAGAUGGAUUGGUGCCUUCGGGAACUGUGAGACAGGUGCUGCAUGGCUGUCGUCAGCUCGUGUUGUGAAAUGUUGGGUUAAGUCCCGCAACGAGCGCAACCCUUAUCCUUUGUUGCCAGCGGUUCGGCCGGGAACUCAAAGGAGACUGCCAGUGAUAAACUGGAGGAAGGUGGGGAUGACGUCAAGUCAUCAUGGCCCUUACGACCAGGGCUACACACGUGCUACAAUGGCAUAUACAAAGAGAAGCGACCUCGCGAGAGCAAGCGGACCUCAUAAAGUAUGUCGUAGUCCGGAUUGGAGUCUGCAACUCGACUCCAUGAAGUCGGAAUCGCUAGUAAUCGUAGAUCAGAAUGCUACGGUGAAUACGUUCCCGGGCCUUGUACACACCGCCCGUCACACCAUGGGAGUGGGUUGCAAAAGAAGUAGGUAGCUUAACCUUCGGGAGGGCGCUUACCACUUUGUGAUUCAUGACUGGGGUGAAGUCGUAACAAGGUAACCGUAGGGGAACCUGCGGUUGGAUCACCUCCUUA